rnacentral:rRNA from 1 species
ACCCGCUGAACUUAAGCAUAUCAAUAAGCGGAGGAAAAGAAACCAACAGGGAUUGCCUCAGUAACGGCGAGUGAAGCGGCAACAGCUCAAAUUUGAAAUCGGCCACCAGGUCGAGUUGUAAUUUGUAGAUUGUAUCUUGAGAGCGGAUUAAAGUCUGUUGGAACACAGCGCCUUAGAGGAUGACAGCCCCGUAAAAUCUAUUCUCAUUGUAAGAUACUUUCGAAGAGUCGAGUUGUUUGGGAAUGCAGCUCUAAGUGGGAGGUAAAUUCCUUCUAAAGCUAAAUAUUGACGAGAGACCGAUAGCGAACAAGUACUGUGAAGGAAAGAUGAAAAGCACUUUGAAAAGAGAGUGAAAAAGUACGUGAAAUUGUUAAAAGGGAAGGGUAUUGAAUCAGACUUGGUGCUGUUGUUCAACUGUGUUUUGGCACAGUGUACUCAGCAGUACUAGGCCAAGGUGGGGUGUUUGGGAGUGAAAAAGAAGUUGGAACGUAACUCUUCGGAGUGUUAUAGCCUACUUUCAUAGCUCCUCAGGCGCCUCAGGACUGCGCUUCGGCAAGGACCUUGGCAUAAUGAUUCUAUACCGCCCGUCUUGGAACACGGACCAAGGAG